rnacentral:lncRNA from 1 species
GGCUGGGGGUGUGACUCAGGAGCAGAGCAAGUGCCCGGCACACACGAGGCCUUGGGUCUGAGUCCUUGUUCUGAUAAAAACAACAAAAAUAAUAACAUUAACAAAAAUAAAGUUACAUAUUUAGAGGGCUAUGUUGAAAAGUGGCAGGCUGGGGCACUCCUUUUCCCUCUCACAGAAAUGCUCAGACCAAGGCUAAACGAUCAAUAUCAGAGCAUUGGACAGUGGGGUGAAGAGACGGAGUCCAAGGUCCCAGAUCCAACCCCACCAGGGGGGCUGUGCUGCAUUCAACUUCCUUUUGCACCAAAAGCAGACCUUGAGACAGGGUUUGAGUUCAAGUAGUUUAUUUGGGAGCUACUCCCUGAAAGCACUGGUGAAGAAAAGAGAGGUGAGGUGGCGGUGGGGAGAAAACUUAAAAGAGCAGUGUAGCUGAGUAGAUAAUCACCAAGGGCAACUUGGGUUCAAUCCCACUGGAAAAUGCUAGGAGGCAUGUAGAUUAGGCCCUGGGAUUAUCCCACCAGAGGAGCAAAGAGGCUGGGAUGUUUAUUCUCCUGUUUUUUACCCAUCAUCAGCCAAGCCCUCACCUGAGGAUUCCGCAGCCAAUCACCUGUCACCUCCAUGGCAUCUUGGGUGCUUGCAGUAAUAUCCCGUGGUGCACCUGGAAUAGCAACAGGAAGGAGCUCCAAAAGCUGUGUGGAUCACCCAGGCCCAGCCAGAUAGGCAUGGAUCAGAAGAGUCCAUCCUCAGGAGGACCUGCCGUGCGCUCAGAGCUCCUCCCAGAGAAACUUUCCUCCUAAGUGAUACGAAGUGAAACUCCACAAAGUGCCGAGUCACAGGAAAUGCCAAGAUUCUUCACACAUAGAAUAAUGAGGCAAUAAAACUCAACUAUAAAGUUAAAUAAUUUACCAUAAAUAUCUAAAGCUCUCAAAUUAUUCUCUACAUUAACUGCCUAUGUUUAAAAU